UCGGAGGAGCAUCUACCAGCUUCGUUAUCAGUUGGAGCGUGCAAGUCGUACAAGACGAAGAGGAGGAGGAGGACGGUGAGGUUGAGGAGGAGGAGGAGAGGAGAUGCCAGAUACGUGUUGUGCAAGCAAGUGGUCUCAUCAAUCGUAAAUCACAUUGGAGCUUCCAGAUCUGACAAGUAUAUUCCCUUUCUCCGUACAAGCGGUGUGUUCCAAGCAUGUGACGACUUUCAUGACCCUGUUUCAUCAUCAAGUAUUGAAGUUCAUCUUGCGUCAGAUCUAAACAAAU